rnacentral:rRNA from 1 species
UAGAGAGGGUGCGAGCGUUAAUCGGAAUUACUGGGCGUAAAGCGCACGUAGGCGGCGACGUAAGUCGGGCGUGAAAGCCCCGGGCUCAACCUGGGAAUUGCAUUCGAGACUGCAUUGCUGGAGUACGGAAGAGGAGGGCGGAAUUCCCGGUGUAGCGGUGAAAUGCGUAGAUAUCGGGAGGAACAUCAGUGGCGAAGGCGGCCCUCUGGUCCAGUACUGACACUCAAGUGCGAAAGCGUGGGGAGCAAACAGG